rnacentral:rRNA from 1 species
AUUGAACGCUGGCGGCAGGCCUAACACAUGCAAGUCGAACGAGUGGCAGACGGGUGAGUAAUGUCUGGAACACUGCCAUAUGGAGGGGGAUCACUACUGGAAACGGUCGCUAAUACCGCAUACCAUCAGAUGUGCCCAGAUGGGAUUAGCUUGUUGGUGGUGUAACGGCUCACCAAGGCGACGAUCCCUAGCUGGUCUGAGAGGAUGACCAGCCACACUGGAACUGGGACACGGUCCAGAAUCCUACGGGAGGCAGCAGUGGGGAAUAUUGCACAAUGGGCGCAAGCCUGAAGCAGCCAUGCCGCGUGUAUGAAGAAGGCCUUCGGGUUGUAAAGUACUUUCAGCGGGGAGGCGUUACCCGCAGAAGAAGCACCGGCUAACUCCGUGCCAGCGGCCGCGGUAAUAC